ACGGAGGGUGCAAGCGUUGUUCGGAAUUAUUGGGCGUAAAGCGCGUGUAGGCGGUUUGUUAAGUCUGGUGUGAAAGCCCUGGGCUCAACCUGGGAAGUGCAUUGGAUACUGGCAAACUUGAGUACGGGAGAGGAUAGUGGAAUUUCGAGUGUAGGGGUGAAAUCCGUAGAUAUUCGAAGGAACACCGGUGGCGAAGGCGGCUAUCUGGACCGAUACUGACGCUGAGACGCGAAAGCGUGGGGAGCAAACAGGAUUAGAUACCCUGGUAGUCCACGCCGUAAACGAUGGGUACUAGGUGUUGCGGGUAUUGACCCCUGCAGUGCCGAAGCUAACGCAUUAAGUACCCCGCCUGGGGAGUACGGUCGCAAGACUA
rnacentral:rRNA from 1 species